rnacentral:misc_RNA from 1 species
GCCCAUCCACGCUCGGUUGCCUCAGGGCAAAAAGAUGCGGACAUUGGCCCUCCGAACCGCGAGGUGCGGUGGGCCCAAGUGUGCGGCCGUCGUGCGUGGCCGGGAGCGGCGAGUGGUGGGCUACUGCGCACGUCAUCCCCGAGCUCCGUACCGGCACAGGGCCUUGUUUGACCCCCUAACGAGGAGCAUGCCGUCGCGGCCUGUGCUGCGCGGCGCCUUCGGACC